rnacentral:rRNA from 1 species
GUGGGGGAUAUUGCACAAUGGGGGAAACCCUGAUGCAGCAACGCCGCGUGAGGGAUGAAGGUUUUCGGAUUGUAAACCUCUGUCCUUAGUGAAGAAAAAAAUGACGGUAACUAAGGAGGAAGCUCCGGCUAACUACGUGCCAGCAGCCGCGGUAAUACGUAGGGAGCGAGCGUUGUCCGGAUUUAUUGGGUGUAAAGGGUGCGUAGGCGGCUAUGUAAGUCAGACGUGUAAUGCAGGGGCUUAACCUCUGAACUGCGUUUGAAACUGUGUAGCUUGAGUGGAGUAGAGGCAGAUGGAAUUUCCAGUGUAGCGGUGAAAUGCGUAGAUAUUGGAAGGAACACCAGUGGCGAAGGCGAUCUGCUGGGCUCUAACUGACGCUGAGGCACGAAAGCAUGGGGAGCAAACAGG